GCGUCACCGUGACGUCACAGUCUGACGCGGGGCCGGUUAACGGCAGACAGAAUACGUCGUUUUUUUAAACGUCUAUUUCAUAGAUAAUUGGCGGUGAGCGUAAGCUAGCAGCUCGGGCGAUGCCCAUCCUUGGCUCUGUGCCCAACGCCAGCAGACCUCUCGGGAACAACAGAAUCGUUUCUCCGGACCCAGAGACUCCCGGAACCGCAACUCCAACCAGUUGUCAUCUCAGUGGGAUGAGACCAUCCUGAUAUUCCAAGGAGAAGAGCUGCUCACCUCACCAGGCCCGUGACUCUCAGGCGUCUCAGUGUUUGCCAGCCUGUUUGACGAUGGUUAAAUCAGGCUUUGUUCCUGUCCGGGUCUCCAUCUUCUCUGGUUAUAAUUCCUUCUGUAAGGACGCCACUGCAUCGGGCAUACUGGAUUAAAGGCUCCGUCCAGCUGGACAUCCAGGAGAAAGGAUCUCUCAGUUGCUGCCUGAACUGCAGGAGAGUCGUCUGGAUCUCCGGAGGAACAGAGUCGCAUGCAGCAAAACCAAAAGCAGCUUCAGAGCCAGACUCAGCAGGCCCAGGAGCUCCAGAGUCAGCAAACGUCUUAAUGACGGCAGAGGGCUACAUUGAUGAGGCCAGUGAGGUGAAAUGAACAUGCACUCACCCCUGUGGAGUGGAGGUGAGAAGCUUUUAAAAUGGGGUCAUGGAAAAGGUCUUGUGCAGCCGUAAAGAUCCGGUCCUUGCUAGGUCUUUAUACCCAGAGAUAUUUUUAGCAGUCUGCGCGUGUCAAAGUAAAUGUUUCUUCUGAAGUAAAUUACCAUUUUCAAUUCUUUUGGAACAGACUGUUUCAUGAUGUGUAGCAGAAGGUUCUCUGUGCCUCAUUCUCCCUGUGAAAACAAUACAAGACAAUCUUCGUUGUUCUCAGUGAUUGGCAUCUUCACACCCACCAUCACUUCUAUUUAAGCUGGUUCAUUCAGCUGUUGUAGAGGACGUGUCACUCUUUUCUUGAACUACGCCCAUUCUUCCAGUGAUUUUCACACAAAAUGAUUGUCCAAUUCGCACAUCUUGUAGACUACUCACAAAUAUCAGCCCAUGAAUAAAAGUUGAAUUCACUGUGGAAUUGAAUAGGACAUGUUUUUUGUUCUCUUUGGUAACUAAUAAUUUCACAGUUAAGUAAAAAUGUAGUACAGUUUCCAAAGUCUGGCUGUUUGCUGACUGACCGACCUGGGUAAGGUGUUAAUGCUCGCUUUUGUUUUUAUAGCUUGUGUGGAUUCGCAUUCCGGCUGCUCCUACAGUCGUCUCCCUGGGUGUCUUGACUCAAGGUUCUCUGGAGGUGGGAAAGAAAGCCACAGUCUGUGCCUCACGGACAAGAAAAUGCCUAAAAUGAUUAGAAGCAUUUCAUCCAUCGUUUCACCCCCUUUCAAAUUAGACCAAUGUCUCUUCUGUACUUGUUAUGCACCAUCGUUUUCUGCCAAUUAGCAAGGAGCGUCUCCGCGCUGGAAGGGUCUGGUGUGGGGAAGGCAGGAAGGAGAAGCAACCGUGGUGGUCAGCUACCAGACAGCUCACAUCAGCCUACCCCAUUAGGGACAUCCGCACACAGCGCUGUGCAUCAGGAUGCUCUCAUUUACCGCCUGCACAUCCAGCCAUUUAUCUCUCUCUCUCCACUGAUCUUGCUCUCACGCUCUCUCUCUCUUUUUAAUUUUCCUCUCAAAAACAGAUCCCACAUUAAGCAGCCAAGCAUGGCGGCUGCAGUGCCUCUCCUGAAAGAGCAAAGGAAUGAUUUAAUUUCUUCUCCUCUUGGUCUCUGUAGCCUCCUUUCCCUGCUCAUACACAGAUCAUUAGACACACAGGCUUCAUUUCCAUCUCCCUGUGAGGCCACAUGCAGGGCUUAAGCUAGUCAGCCACGCCAUGGCCAUUCCUGACGAUCAAUACCUGUGGUCAGGACGGUGCACGCAGUGCUUCCUAAACAGGCCCUGCAGGUCCAACCAUAAAACACCUAAGAGGACAUACACGCCACCCCAUAAAUCACACUUUUUUGGGGGGGGCCUUCAAUCCUAUGCUGGAGUGAGGGGAGCCGGGAAAACGGUUCAUAGCAAGACUUCACUCUUAAUGACGAGAUGUGAAUUUUGUGUUUUUCUUUCAUAUAACUAUACUAUACAGAGGAAUAUGUGUCUACAAUUUUUAUUCAUUGGACCACAUUAAAUGCAUACAUUUUUAUCAAGCUAGUAAAUGGCAAGAACUGAGCGAAUGCUGUGAUGACAUCAGGGCCUGCAGAGAUGGUUUAAUUUAAACUGAGCAGUAUUAAUGAGAUUUUACUUGGUUGGAACCUGAAUGAUACGUAGAUAAGCUCAAAGGAAUAGUCAGUUUGAGUUUUUCCAUAUGGAGAGUUUACUGUUUUAGCUUGUAGAUUACGGGAAUGGAAUAGGUGAUGUACGGGCCAGAUCGGAGUGAGCCUUGGGGCUGCUAGACAGACAGAAAAAUGGAUGUUUUUCUCAUCUUGCUUUUGCCUCCAGAGCUCCGCUGGGCUGAUCCCCACAUUAACAAAACAGAUAGCCAACAACUCUAAUUACCUUUGCAUCCAUUCGCUCUCCCCAUCUACCACUCCCUACUUUGCCUGUGCAAAUGAUAGAAAGAGAGAAAUAGAAGGAAGAGAAGCAUAAUUACUUAUUUUACUGGAGUGCGGCAGAAUGCCUUUUGCCAAAUGACUCUAAUUCCAAAUGGUUAACAAGAUUUUUCUUUUUAAUAGAGAGAAUCCACGUGACAGCAAAUUGCUUUUCUAUUUGGGGCCUUAAUGGCUUUUCAUACUUCGCACUUCCAAUAAGCAGUAAACUCGGAAAUUAAUAUUGCAUACUGUUAUGAUGCAAAUGAGAACGCGAUAGGAGAGCUGUACCUUAACGCAGAAACCUCUGAUUACAUCCGUAAUUGCACUGGUAGGAUGACUUUCCCAUUCGUUUGAGCUUCUUUAUUUAUUUGUAUAACUUUGGUCCUCAUGCUUUACUCCAUUAUUGUAAGUGGCACAUGUGCCCUGCUGUACAUUGCAUUUUACUUUUUUUUAUUCAGUAAUUUAUCCAUUCAACGUUCGUAAGUAGUCGUUUAAGAGUAUUGACCUGAUCAUCAUUAUAUCCUUCAUUUCUUUAGUGACUAAAGUAUAGCUUGUGUGGUCCUCCACCGCAAACAUUUCAGGUUAUAAUGUUGCUACGCUAUUUUACUUUUUGAUCAUUAUAUUUUCUGUAAGUACAGUAUAUAGUUAAACACCUAUUGUAUUAUUCAUGCUACACUUAUCAUAUCUUUUCUCUGAACAUUUAAUUUAAAUGUUAACUCUGUAAAAUUGUAUGCUGUAAAUCAAAAGUGAUGAUUCAGAAAUAUGUUAAUAAUAAUAAUGUUUCAUUCUAUUUUUUUCUAUAAAAGGACGUGUACAUUGCACCAAUCAUUUCAGCGACCUCGUUCUCACACAGAGGCAGAGAAAAACAUUGUCAUUAUGAAUUGCCCAGUCAACCUAAUAUGUAGAGGGCAGAAAACAGUAGCAGCUUGUGAGGAGUGUGAAAGAAAAAGUGAAUGUACGGCAAAGAGUCAAAUGUAAAAGGUACCACUAAGUUUUAAGUGCUGUCACACUUCAAGCACUGCUUUUAAUUACAUCCUCAAGCAGCCUAUGCAUUCUGAUCAGGACCAAUACAAAGACUGAAAGACCACUUUCGUGUUCCUAUCUAAAGUGGAUUUGUUUCAGUCUGCAGUUGACUAGCUCAGUCAGUUUUUUUGAAGCCCUCACAAUGUAAGAUAAUUUAUUCAUGGAAGGUGUUUCUUAAUUAACUUUUGAUCCAAGUCAUCUAAUUUCCUAUUCCAUUUUACACAUUCUCAAUUAUGAAUCCAUGUAUACUGUACUCUUAUUAAGGGGGAUCAUAAAGUGAGACGUUCUUCAUAAAGCACUGGUAGGUACAGUGGUGCACUGUUAAACUGCACGAAGAUCCAAACAUUUUAGACUUGUCACUGACAAAAGAUACUCUUCACAGCAUUGUUUUGCAAUGAUACUUUUUACGUCAACCUACCUCCAUCACAUUGAAAGGUUCCCCUGCUUCUUUGAUGUAUCUGAUUCUAUAUUGCCCUGCUUCAGGUCCACUUCUCCUAGAUAUCUCCUCUUAAUGGAAGUUUUGUGUACAUUCUGUGCAGCCCGCCUGUAGCACUGUGCACAGCUCUCCGGGCUUGUCAUUAGGAAGAGAGGGGUUGAGGAUGCCCUGUGUUUGGCUAUAGCUGCAGCACCAGACACGCAGCCAGACAGAAAUAGCAAAUUAAUUCAGCUGGAUUGGCCUAUGAUUGCAGUCAGCGAUUUAGGUUAAAUGUCCUUUGGUGGAUAGCAGCAUUUCAUCCAGAUAUUGGUCACAUGAUCACA
ensembl:lncRNA